CCCCCUUUCAGCUGAGCGCACACAACACAGCAUCCACGUGAGUCAGCUUCUUAAAGGCGAAGGCUUGGCCUGUCUAAUUGCGGCAGCUGCGAGACAUCGCACGUCAUUAGCGUCACCAGGUAGCGGCUGGAGCCGAGCUUCCUGAUACCUAGUGAGCCGCGGUGAUGACAAAUGAAAACAAUAAGCUGUUUCCUAGACAAACAGCUGCCUAGGUUUGGAUAAAAGGUAGUCUCUCCUGAUAAUUCUCAACACCUGAUGGACACCUAUUCCAGGAGAACACUCUGCAUCCUGAAGCUCAUUCUGUCCUAAAUGGAUCCCAUAUCUCCUCUCAACGCAGAGACAAAAACAAACAUUCCUUAGGCCUAGGACCAUCACUUCCCUUGUGUCUGUUCAUGGACCACAAUACCUUGCCUGCUUCAAUGGCUGCAAGUGUUUAUCAUCUCUGUCUUGUCUGGGCCCUGCAUACAAGUGACCUGCCCUCAUAUCCAACACUCCAGUUUAGACUCCAGUAACCUCUUACUGGUGGGUUCUAAUAACCUUUUAAUAACUUCCCUCUAUCUUGCCCCUUGCUUUAUAUUGAGAUCAUAUUCAUUGUUUCCCCUCCAUCUUGCUGCCUGGAUCAUGAAUGAUGUCUAUACCACAGGGACCAGGAUGCCAUCUAGGGACAAUGGAGCAAUGAGCUGGGAGGAACCUGGAUCCUGAACAUUGUGUGGAGUACAGCUGUCAUAAGGCUGAGGUUGCAUUGUGUGUGUGUGUGUGUGUGUGUGAGUGAGUGUGUGUGUGUGUGUGUUGUUUACUUUAACCUGAGCUUAUGAGAGCUCUGGGUAAUGUAAAUAGAAUAGCUCCUUUAGGAAGUGUCUUAGUCAUUUUGGGCUGCUAUAACAAAAAUGCUGUAUA
rnacentral:lncRNA from 10 species